rnacentral:ncRNA from 1 species
CUGCCCAGUGCUGAAAGGUUAAGGAAGUUGGUCGCCUGAUGAUGGGGAAGCCAAUGAUAAAAACCUUGGUGAAUAAAAACCAUAACUAUAACAGUCCUAAGGUAGCAAAAUUCCGUGUUAAGUAAGUUCCAACCCACACAAAAG